rnacentral:rRNA from 1 species
AGUGAACGCUGGCGGCAGGUCUAACACAUGCAAGUCGAACGGCAGCACAGUAAGAGCUUGCUCUUACGGGUGGCGAGUGGCGGACGGGUGAGGAAUACCUCGGAAUCUACUUUUUCGUGGGGGAUAACGUAGGGAAACUUACGCUAAUACCGCAUACGACCUACGGGUGAAAGCAUCGGAUCUUCGGACCUUGCGCGAUUGAAUGAGCCGAUGUCGGAUUAGCUAGUUGGCGGGGUAAAGGCCCACCAAGGCGACGAUCCGUAGCUGGUCUGAGAGGAUGAUCAGCCACACUGGAACUGAGACACGGUCCAGACUCCUACGGGAGGCAGCAGUGGGGAAUAUUGGACAAUGGGCGCAAGCCUGAUCCAGCCAUACCGCGUGGGUGAAGAAGGCCUUCGGGUUGUAAAGCCCUUUUGUUGGGAAAGAAAAGCAGCAGGUUAAUACCCCGCUGUUCUGACGGUACCCAAAGAAUAAGCACCGGCUAACUUCGUG